AUUGAACGCUGGCGGAAUGCUUUACACAUGCAAGUCGAACGGCAGCACGGGGGCAACCCUGGUGGCGAGUGGCGAACGGGUGAGUAAUACAUCGGAACGUGCCCAGUCGUGGGGGAUAACUACGCGAAAGCGUAGCUAAUACCGCAUACGAUCUACGGAUGAAAGCGGGGGAUCGCAAGACCUCGCGCGAUUGGAGCGGCCGAUGGCAGAUUAGGUAGUUGGUGGGGUAAAGGCUCACCAAGCCUGCGAUCUGUAGCUGGUCUGAGAGGACGACCAGCCACACUGGGACUGAGACACGGCCCAGACUCCUACGGGAGGCAGCAGUGGGGAAUUUUGGACAAUGAGCGAAAGCCUGAUCCAGCCAUUCCGCGUGCAGGAUGAAGGCCCUCGGGUUGUAAACUGCUUUUGUACGGAACGAAACGCGCUGAGCUAAUACCUCGGCGUAAUGACGGUACCGUAAGAAUAAGCACCGGCUAACUACGUGCCAGCCGCCGCAGUAAAAC
rnacentral:rRNA from 1 species